rnacentral:lncRNA from 1 species
AGUAACCACACGACCUUGUCCUUGAGUCGUUUCCCUACCUCCACUAAGAUGUUUUGUUUUUGCUGUGAUCUGUAUGUACUUCCAUGGGGGAGAAAUUAAGCUAAGAGCCAAUUAUCAGUAGCCUAGUUUCGAGGCAGCUAUUUACCCAUUCAUACUGAAAAGUGCACAGUAUAAAGUUAGAGCUCUUUAUUCACAGAGUAAGGCACAGUGAGGUGGGAGACUGUAAUCUCCAUGAUUUUGCACUUAAGUAGCUCUUUGUAGCUACCACCUAGCUUGGUAAGAACACAAGCAGGUGGCCUGGCUGCAGUGUAGAAAGUGGCUGGGCUUCUGAGCUUUAGUCAGUUCUUCUCCAAGUGUCUGAUAAGAGCAUCUAGCAGUUCCUGCUUCUUCGGCCCACUCUUAAGCCCAUGAGCCUUGCAUAUGUCCUUCAGUGUAGGUACAGUGAGCUUACCCAGUGUGCCCUUACGAAAAUGGGCCUUCAGCUCUUCUUCUGAUAACUCUACCUUGGGCUUUUUACUCGUAGAACCUUCAUCAUCUAGAGAAAAGAGACAGGAAGGAAAGACCUGGAAAUGCUUCCAGUGAUAGCCCAGCUACAUGGCACUGUGCACUCUUAUGGUGUGUGUUGCAUAUGUAAAACCGCUGCUCAUUCUCUGUAAGCCUAUCCCCCCCCCCCUUUUUUUUUUUUUUUUUAGUUUUUCUCAAGACAGGGUUUCUCUGUAUAGCCCUGGCUGUCCUGGAACUCACUCUGUAGACCAGGCUGGCCUUGAACUCAGAGAUCCACCUGCCUCUGCCUCCCAAGUGCUGGGAUUAAAGGCAUGCGCCACCACUGCCCUGCUUCUUUUCCCCCAAAAAAAUGUACAGGGACUAGAAGUACAGCAUUGCUAGACCCCAUUUUAAAUUCCAGCACAUCCAAAGGGUAAGGGGAAAAAACAUUGAGAAACAUUGUGUUAAGUUCUGAGGCACCAGGCAAUAAAACCAGCAGGGCAAAAAACCACAGACAAUGUCUGAUGACAACUUCCAGGACAUGACAGAGUUGGUUCUGAUGCAAAAUGGUACAAGCAGGAUGGUCCCAGUCUGACCUGGCUUUCUUCAUGGAUGUAUUAGGUAACAAGGCUUAAAUAUGACUUGACUUAGUCAAAAGAACAAUCCAGAACCAUUCCAAAAUGGUGACUGUGCCCAGUGCUGCUUUACAAGUGCUUCUUCCUCAUAGUAGAGGAAGCUUGGGGUCUACCAGUAAUAAGCCCUGUCCUAUAGCAAGUGGUCAGUGCCAGGAUCAGAGACCAGGUAGAAAAAAGCCUAAUGAAACUACUCCACUCCCAACUAGAGAACUACAUAGACAUCAAAGCAGGGCAUAUAUUCCCUCUGUCACUUCCUUUUAUAGAAAUUUAGAUAAUUAGGGGCUAGAAAGAUGGCUCAUGGAGCCUACUGAUGCAGAGGCCAUGGAGAGAUGUUCCUUACUGGCUUGCUUUGGGUAUAGGUGCAUGUCUUUGUAGAAGCCAGAGGGGAGGAUGUUGAGUCCUCAUCUCUGCCUCCCCACCUUCCUCCCUUGAUGUCGGGUCUCUCAUUGACUAGUUCACUGUAGAAUAUGCCCUAAAAAGAGGUCUCAUUAAAUAAGAAGCAGGG